rnacentral:tRNA from 3 species
GGGCCUGUAGCUCAGGUGGUUAGAGCGCGCGCCUGAUAAGCGCGAGGUCACUAGUUCGAGUCUAGUCAGGCCCACCA